GGGAGGGUAGAUAAGCUCAAAUGGAUAGAGGCCGAUUAACGAAAGUCGGUGGUUGCAGGUUCGAUCCCUGCCCCUCUCACGA
rnacentral:tRNA from 2 species